ACGUUUUGAAGGGGGUCAAAAUCAUGCUCAAAGUUUCCGUUACAUACUAACAUACAUACGUCUGAAGCUAAUAAAACCGUAUCAAAAAUAACGUUUACUUAUUUGUACAAUUGAUACCUCUUUACAUUACAUUAAUACUUUCAUGAAUACUCUUUCCAUUAAUACUUUUGUAUGACGCUUAGUCAAAUCAGUUGUUUGUUUUGAUUCAAAAUGGCGUAUUUACAGAAUAUCGUGCUUGUCUUUUUACCGUUAUUUUCACCGCCCGUCUAACACGAAAACUAUUGUCAUUUUGUCAGCAUUAAAAAAUAAAGGGCUAAAGCAUCAUCGAUUGCUGGACAACUAUUACUAUCGGAAUCUAGUUUUUUUUUUCUUUUUGUAUUACAUUGAUUCGUUAAAUUGGAUUUAAUUCAUUGAGUUUUUCGAUUUGACUCGGUAUAAUUUUCAAUGGACAAGUUAACUGUUGGAGUAGUUUGUUGUUAUGUCAAUGAUAGUAGUCGCCUGAGUUUUACGCGAUGAAGCUAUUACGGUUUUGAUGUUGAAUGUUCAAAAGAAAGCAAUGCGUUCGUUACUCCAGCGUAGACCACCUACAAAAGGCAGAUGGGCAGAGUGCUUCAUUUCUUUUGAUUUUUAUAAAAAAAUCCCAUUAUUUUAAUAAUAAAACAGUAUCUGUGUAUUGUGUUCUCAAGGAAUUCGUUGGAGAUAAGCCAGCAACGUUCUCAGGCUAAUGUAAUGUAUAUUGAAUUUCAAGCAUGUAUGGAUGAGUACGACUAUACUUCUGACAACAAAAACAAUAGUGAAAUAUGGCUCGAACGCGGAAAAAAUGUUUAUUAUACAUAUAUCAUAAGAUUUUAAAAUGUAAUAAUAAUGCCUUAUUAGAUGUUUAAGCUUAUUUAAUUAAAUAAAAUCAUAAUUUUUGU